GAGAGGUGCAGCAUGGCUGUCGUCAGCUCGUGUUGUGAAAUGUUGGGUUAAGUCUCGCAACGAGCGCAACCCCUAUCGUCUGUUGCCAGCAUUAAGUUGGGCACUCUGACGAGACUGCCUGGGUUAACCAGGAGGAAGGUGGGGAUGACGUCAGGUCCUCAUGGCCCUUACGUCUAGGGCUACACACGUAAUACAAUGGCGCGUACAGAGGGAAGCGAACUCGCAAGGGGGAGCAAAUCUCAAAAAGCGCGCCUCAGUUCGGAUUGGAGUCUGCAACUCGACUCCAUGAAGUUGGAAUCGCUAGUA
rnacentral:rRNA from 1 species